AUCUAGCUGACGAGUCCCAAAUAGGACGAAACGCGCGUCCUGGCU
rfam:Schistosoma rodhaini strain Burundi genome assembly, scaffold: SROB_scaffold0009805